AUUUAACGCUGGCGGCAGGCCUAACACAUGCAAGUCGAACGAGUGGCGGACGGGUGAGUAAUGUCUGGGAAACUGCCUGAUGGAGGGGGGUAAAUACUGGAAACGGUAGCUAAUACCCCCUACCCUCCGAUGUGCCCAGAUGGGAUUAGAUAGGAGGUGGGGUAAAGGCUCACCUAGGCGACGAUCCCUAGCUGGUCUGAGAGGAGGACCAGCCACACUGGAACUGAGACACGGUCCAGACUCCUACGGGAGGCAGCAGUGGGGAAUAUUGCACAAUGGGCGAAAGCCUGAUGCAGCCAUGCCGCGUGUAUGAAGAAGGCCUUCGGGUUGUAAAGUACUUUCAGCGAGGAGGCGUUACUCGCAGAAGAAGCACCGGCUAACUCCGUGCCAGCAGCCGCGGUAAUUC
rnacentral:rRNA from 1 species